rnacentral:lncRNA from 1 species
CUGCCAGGGCACUCUGCUGGCUCAUAUUCAACUUGCUAUCAAGAAAAACAAGAUCCUCUCUGCGGGGCUGCUCUCCAGUGUCUCGUUGCCCAGUCUGUACAUAUAGCCAGGGUUGGCCCGUCCCAGGUGCAGGACCUGGCACUUGUUAAACUUCAUUUGGUUGGUGAUCGCCCAGAUCUCUGCAAGGCCAAAGUAGUCAGACGGCUGUACCGGGUGGGUAACUUUCCUGGCAAUGUCUCUUACCCAAGCCCCAGGGAGGCAGCAGACUUCCCUGUGUGUUGGGUCCGGAUGGAGAUUAGGCCCUCUGUCCCUAUGAUGAUAACCCUCCUUUCUUUCUUCAUGGAAGAUGUAGUGAUGUGGGGGGUAGGUUGCCUUGCCUUAAGCAACCCUUCCAACCAGGAUGGGCUUUCAUCUACAUUGUUGUCUUGACUGUCAAGUUCUAGAGCAGAAACCUGCUUCUAUCCCCCCCUGGACCUAGGUCCCCUCCAACCUACCGGUGGGAUGGGGGAACCUUUGUCUUUCAUGUAGUGGCAGCCUGGUGGGAUAGGGGAACCUUUGUUUCUUGGGUGGUGGCUGGCUCGUGAGUGUGUCUCGGGGAGGGUAGUGUGCUUCCAUCAGUAAAUUUCCCUGUCUGACUCCCUGAUCACCUCCUCCCUAAGCUCUGUCACCAGGUUGAGCAGUUCUUCAACCUGGGCACACCUCCCACAGGCAUACCCACUGCUGCUGCCCUCAGACACCGACAGAAGACUCAGGCACACCCUCCAGCUCAACGCUUGGACAGUCCAUGUUUCCCUGCGACCUCUGGCUAGCCACAACAAUAGCUGUGGCUGGAGAUGGAAGAGAUGCAGAGGCCGUGGCUUUCUGCCCAUGGCUGGGCUCUUCACGAGCAGGUUACGACCACCAAAGGAAAAGAGCUGUGAGGGCGCCCUCCCUGCUCGCCCUGCCCCCUGGGGCUGCCUUUGUAUGGCGUGGAGGGGGCGCUGCCUGCCAUGCCCGCCCCUCGUCAGCCUCCUUCCCGAGGGCUGCAGUGCCCUGGCGGCUCCUUCGGCUGCCUCGAGUGGUCUGGAUGCCGGAAAAAGGAGAGAAAAAAAAAAAAAAAGCCGUGCCCGCCUCCAUUCCGCUCCCCUGCACCACGCGGCUGCCCCGGAGCCGAGCGCCUCGGCGUCAGUUCGCCUUCCACCCCACCGCCUGGAAGGUCUUUGGAAGAAAAUUGAUUGAAGGAUGCUGUUCCCCAGCAGUUUCAGCUGAUCCAAGCCUGGGCAGCUGCUGUCCUUCCUCUUCUGUGCCCAGCUGCACGGUCAGCUCCGUUUGCUGCGGGUGCCCUGUGGUUAACUCCUGGAGCUGA